AUAAAAUAAAGUGUAAGUAAAAUUAUAUUAUAUUUAAUAUUUAUUUUUAACAUAACCGAUUCCUGUAUCUAUUAAUUUUCUUCGGAGUUAAAAAAUGAAUUAACAUUAAUUAAUGUUUAUUUAAAUUAAAUAAAUACGUUAUAAUGCAUUACUUGGCCCUCAUAACAAAUUAAUUCUUUUUUUAGAGUGUGGGAUUUGUUUAGAUGCUCUUGAUGAAGAAACACGUACUUUAAAAUGUUGUAACAGGAAGUAUUGUAAAAAAUGUAUUACUUCUUGGCUAAAUACAGGUGUUGAUAGAUGUCCUUUAUGCUUUAUUGCUAUACCUAAUUUAUGUUAUGCAUGUAAAUCGGAUAUUUCUGGUAGUGGGAAAAAGUAUGUAACAACAUGUUGUAAAAGAAUAUUAUGUUACAAUUGCUUUUUACAGAAUUUUAAAGAAAAAUAUCAUUUACGUUGUCCUUUUUGCAAAAUACUUAGAGAAAAAGGUAAAAAAUUUGAAGUAAUUAAGUUGAAAACAUUAUGUAAUGAAUGUAAAACAAAGAAAGGAAAAUAUAGCUAUUCAUCAAUUUGUCCACAUGUUUUUUGCAAGGAAUGCUUUAAAAAAAUAAAAAAAGAAAACGAACAUUGCCCAUAUUGUAAUCAACCACUUAUAAGACGACAAGA